rnacentral:rRNA from 1 species
UACGAAGGGGGCUAGCGUUGUUCGGAAUGACUGGGCGUAAAGGGCGCGUAGGCGGAUGGCACAGUCAGAUGUGAAAUUCCCGGGCUUAACCUGGGGGCUGCAUUUGAUACGUGUUGUCUUGAGUUCGGAAGAGGGUCGUGGAAUUCCCAGUGUAGAGGUGAAAUUCGUAGAUAUUGGGAAGAACACCGGUGGCGAAGGCGGCGACCUGGUCCGACACUGACGCUGAGGCGCGAAAGCGUGGGGAGCAAACAGG